rnacentral:rRNA from 1 species
UACGGAGGGUGCAAGCGUUACUCGGAAUUACUGGGCGUAAAGCGCACGCAGGUGGCUGAGUCAGUCGAUUGUGAAAGCCCUGGGCUUAACCUGGGAAUUGCAGUCGAUACUACUCAGCUAGAGUAUGGGAGAGGGUAGUGGAAUUCCCGGUGUAGCGGUGAAAUGCGUAGAUAUCGGGAGGAACAUCAGUGGCGAAGGCGGCCUCCUGGCUCGAUACUGACGCUGAGGUGCGAAAGCGUGGGGAUCAAACAGG